ACUUGAGAAAGUGAGGACGGUGAGCUGGAGUUGGAUGUUGUGGAGUUUGUUGACUACUCCACAACUUCAAGCAAGGUUUGGAAGGCUGACUGAAGAUAGCAGAGGCUUCAAAACAGUAAGUAAGGAAAGCAUCAAGUAUCUAGCUGAGAUCUUCUAAAAAUUAAUUAUCCAAAUCACAUUACUUUUACACAAAAUCUUACUCAAUAGCAAGCACUGCAUAUUGCUGAGAAUGGAAGAAUUUUCCAUUAAUUAAGAGUUCUCAAAAAGUGUAUCGUGAAACACAAAACACAUGCCAUUAAUAUUCACUUGGGGCUAAAGAACAACUCCGAUAAUAUCUGUACUCAUGAAAGUUUUCAUUCCAAAUACUAAUUAUCAUACAGACCUCUUGCAUCACAAGAUUGCUUGUUUCAGAUACGCACACAGAAAACUUCCUUCUCCAAGAACAACUCUCUAUUACUCUGAUUUUUAAUGCAGUGGAGAAAUAAAAUGGAAAAAUUAUAUAUUCUGUGUGUUUGAAAGAAGUUUCUAACAUGUCAGGAUGCCAAAGGAAAAUGUGCCUUUUUGAGUAAAUGGUAGGAAGGAGUGCAAUUGUCUACAGAGGGCAAUGUAAGAAAAUAGCCUUGUUGUCUUCAUAGUAAUAGGUUCUAUACUCAACUAAUGUUCUAUAUUGUGUGUUCUAUACUACUUUAAAUCUGUAAGCAAAGUAAUGAUACUCAUGUAAUUAGUGAUUUUUUUUUUCUGCAAUAAACCUUUUCUGUUUUA